GCGCCGUCCCAUUCGUUCGUUAGAGAGGAGCAGGAAACACAGCGGACGGGGCUCCUCUUCCUUCGUCUUCCUACUCCCAUCUUCUUUGACGGGUAGAACAAAUGGUAGCUUCCACGUUCAGACUCCACGAGGACAGCCCAAAGCUGGAAUCUGGAACCGCUUUCUAUAUCUAGCGACAUGCAAAGAUUUCCCAAGCUUUCUGAGGAUUUUAUGGCUUAACUAAAGCAGCACGGAGGAUUUUGGAGGUGUGCAGCCGAGUGAACUGACCAAAGGUCCCAGCAUUUUGAACCGAAUGAUUUCAUUUUUCAGGGCACUUGACGCGUUGCUGAAAGCCGUCGGGGGUUGUUCGCGUGAAAGGUGUGAACUUGGAGACGUUCGGUGGAGAAAACCCUAAAACUCUGAGAUCCUUACCCCUGUUUCGACGAAUCGAAGAGGCCGUACCUGUGAGUUCAGUGACUUUUGGCGUUUUCUGCAGCUUUCACUCGCUCGUUUAAUUGCAGUGAUAAGCUCCAAACUCCAAAGAGAAGAGGGAAGACAAGGGGAGAUACAGUAUCCCAAGUCUCGUAUGCUAAAGGGCUGUAGCGAAAUCUCCUGCUGCUGUUUAGCCCCAUUUCUUUUAUUUUUUUAUUCGGCCACCAAAGAGAGUAUCUCUUCCGCUUCUCUGAGCUUCGUAUCAACGCGCAGAGCCCGUGAAGGUCCAGCGUGGGAGCAUCGAAUCUGCUCUGGGUUCCACUGCAAGAGUCAUCAUCCUUUGCUGCAAAGAUGCAGGGAGCUGUUCUGGUUGCCAUAGCUGCCUCAAUUGGUAAUUUGCUGCAGGGAUGGGACAACGCUACCAUUGCAGGAGCUGUUCUAUACAUUAAAAAGGAAUUUAAAUUGGAGAGUGAGCCCACUAUAGAGGGUCUAAUAGUAGCCAUGUCACUUAUUGGUGCUACUAUUAUCACAACAUUCUCUGGAGCAGUAUCAGAUUUGGUUGGUAGGCGACCCCUUCUGAUUAUUUCAUCAGUCCUGUACUUUGUCAGUGGUUUGAUAAUGUUAUGGUCUCCGAAUGUUUAUGUCUUGCUCUUGGCAAGGCUUAUUGAUGGAUUUGGCAUUGGUCUUGCUGUCACACUUGUGCCUGUAUAUAUUUCUGAGACAGCUCCAUCAGAGAUAAGGGGAUUGUUAAAUAAGCUUCCACAGUUCAGUGGCUCUGGAGGCAUGUUUCUGUCAUACUGUAUGGUUUUUGGAAUGUCACUAAUGGCAAAUCCAGCUUGGAGAGUGAUGCUUGGUGUACUCUCUAUUCCUUCCCUUUUAUAUUUCUUAUUGACAAUUUUCUGUUUGCCGGAAUCUCCAAGGUGGCUUGUAAGCAAAGGGAAAAUGCUCGAGGCAAAAUUGGUUUUACAAAGAUUGCAUGGAAGGGAGGAUGUUUCAGGAGAAAUGGCCCUUCUUGUUGAGGGCUUGGGACUAGGUGGUGAGACAUCCAUUGAGGAGUACAUAAUUGGCCCUGCUAAUGAGCUCCCUGAUGACCAGGGAGCAACUGCUGAUACUGAACAGAUCACAUUGUAUGGGCCAGAAGAGGGUCUUUCCUGGGUUGCACGACCUGUGAAAGGACAAAGCAUCCUCGGAAGUGCCUUUACCCUUUUAUCUCGCCAUAAUAGCAUGGAGAUGCAGAGUAGUGUACCACUAAUGGAUCCAUUGGUGACCUUAUUUGGAAGUGUCCAUGAGAAACUACCUGAAAUGGGCAGCAUGCGAAGCACAAUGUUCCCUAAUUUUGGAAGCAUGUUUAGUGUAGCAGAACAGCAACUAAAAAUUGAUCAGUGGGAUGAGGAGAGUCUUCAACAGGGUAGUGAAGACUAUGCGGCUGAUGCUGGAGGAGGUGAGUCUGAUGACAAUGUUUGAAGUCCAUUACUCUCUCGUCAGACAACAAGCUUGGAAGGGAAGGAUAUAGCCCCACCACAUGAGAGUUCUUUAAGUUUGAGACAAACUAGUAGUCCUAUCCAUGAUAACACCAGAGAGGCAGUUGGUAGCAUGGGUAUUGGUGGGGGAUGGCAAUUGGCUUGGAAAUGGUCUGAGAGAGAAAGUGAAGAUGGGAAGAAGGAAGAAGGUUUCAAAAGAAUUUAUCUACACCAAGAAGCUGUCCCUGAGUCACACAGAGGUUCUCGGGUUUUGCUACAAGGAGGUGAAGCCCCAGAAGGCAGUGCAUUUGUCCAGGCUGCAGCAUUGGUGAGCCAGCCUGCUCUUUUUUCUAAGGAGCUUAUGGACCAGCAUCCAGUUGGACCAGCAAUGGUUCAUCCAUCAGAAACAGCCGGUAAAGGCCCAAGGUGGUCCGAUCUAUUUGAACCAGGAGUAAGACGCGCUUUGUUUGUUGGAAUUGGAAUCCAGAUCCUUCAGCAGUUUUCUGGGAUAAAUGGGGUUCUCUACUACACUCCUCAGAUACUUGAGCAAGCUGGUGUUGAAGUACUACUUUCUAAUAUUGGCAUUAGUUCAGAUUCAGCAUCUAUCCUUAUUAGUGCUGUCACGACAUUGUUAAUGCUUCCUAGUAUUGGUGUUGCUAUGAGGCUCAUGGAUAUCUCAGGGAGAAGGUUUCUUAUGCUGUCUACCAUCCCCAUCUUAAUAGCAUCACUGGUUGUCUUGGUUGUGGCCAACCUUGUGGAGCUGGGCAAUGUGGUUCAUGCAGUGCUCUCCACAGUCAGUGUCAUUGUAUACUUCUGCUGCUUUGUCAUGGGUUUUGGACCAAUCCCAAAUAUCCUCUGCUCGGAAAUCUUCCCAACUCGGGUCCGUGGUGUCUGCAUAGCUAUCUGUGCACUUAUAUUCUGGAUCGGAGAUAUCAUAGUCACCUACACCCUACCUGUGAUGUUGAACACAAUUGGCCUUGCUGGCGUGUUUGCAAUUUACUUAGUAGUCUGUAUCAUAGCUUUUGUGUUCGUGUUUCUAAAGGUUCCCGAAACAAAAGGCAUGCCUCUGGAGGUUAUUGCAGAGUUGUUUGCUGUUGGCACAAAACAAGCUGCUCCACAAAAUUGAUGACAUUUAACUUGGCAUUUCAAACACGGACAUCCCAGCCAUCAUCUUGCAUCUCUGCAAGUUAAUUACAGUUCAUUUGAGCAUUAAGUGAGUGAUUAAGACAGAUGAAAUAGAAAGAGACAGUAAAACCGGAAGAAUGGAAUUUUAGGUGUCCCCGAGAAGUUGCUGGAUUUGGUGCAUCGUGUUUCAUCUGGCGAUGAGGAGAUUCCAGAUUUAGGAAUUGAAUUCCUGUUAUUUCUUUGGCAUUAUUAUCUUUCACUUGGGUAUAUUUUCUUGGCUUUCUAUGUCAACUGUGAUUGGAUGGAAUUGUUACCGCUCAAACUUGUAUGAAAUCCUAAACCUCAGGGAGUAGAUUCAUGUAUGGAAUCUUUCAAUCACAUGUUUGACUGUUAUUGGCAUUGCUCCAUGACGUGAAGGAAAUAUCAGUGUUUGCCUUCCAAAGGAUCUGAUUUGUGAACCAAACUAGUUCGACCACCGGUACACAGUUUUAAAACCAAUCCGACCAACGGAUCCGAUCCGGAUUUAAU